AAAACGCAUUACGAACGAACGCCCUUCAACUAUCCAAAUCCACCCAAAUUCCGGUUAGGCUUCUUCUCCGAGAUCGACGACCACGAUGAACAAACGUUGCCAAAGCCUUGCUCGAAUCCUCAAAUCCGUCAGUAGAUCAUUCUCUUCUUCAUCUUCUUCCACCUCCGCCUCUGCCACAUCUUCCCAAUUCCCGCGCACGUUGGCCGGUCUCCGGGAACGACUCGCAGCGGAGUCCCCAUCACUUUCCGACUUCGUUGAUCUGCAAUCUUCUGAUUCGUAUUCUGUGGAGGUUGGUACGAAGAAGAAGCCCCUUCCUAAACCUAAAUGGAUGAAGGAAUCGGUGCCUGGAGGCGAGAAAUAUGUUCAAAUCAAGAAGAAGCUCCGGGAAUUGAAGCUUCAUACGGUUUGUGAGGAGGCUAAAUGCCCUAAUUUAGGGGAAUGCUGGUCUGGUGGAGAAACCGGCACUGCCACUGCUACGAUUAUGAUUCUUGGUGACACUUGUACCCGUGGUUGCAGGUUCUGUAACGUGAAGACAUCACGAACUCCACCUCCACCGGAUCCAAAUGAGCCGACAAAUGUUGCUGAAGCAAUUGCAUCAUGGGGUUUGGAUUAUGUGGUCAUUACUAGUGUCGAUCGCGACGAUUUACCUGAUCAAGGGAGUGGUCAUUUUGCAGAGACUGUGCAGAAACUUAAGGUGUUGAAGCCAAAUAUGCUGAUCGAGGCAUUGGUUCCUGAUUUUCGAGGAGACUCUGGCUGUGUGGAGAAAGUUGCAAGGUCAGGCCUUGACGUCUUUGCUCACAAUAUAGAGACAGUUGAAGAGCUUCAAGGAGCAGUUAGGGAUCACCGUGCUAAUUUCAAGCAAUCAUUAGACGUUCUAGUUAUGGCCAAAGAGUUUUCUCCUUCUGGAACUCUUACAAAGACUUCCAUUAUGUUAGGCUGUGGGGAAACACCAGAUCAAGUUGUGCAAACAAUGGAGAAGGUGAGAGCAGCUGGAGUUGAUGUGAUGACAUUUGGGCAGUAUAUGAGACCUUCAAAACGCCAUAUGCCUGUAUCAGAAUACAUUACUCCUGAGGCUUUUGAGAAGUAUCAAAAUCUUGGCAUGAAAAUGGGUUUUCGAUAUGUGGCAUCUGGCCCAAUGGUUAGGUCCUCAUACAAGGCAGGAGAAUUCUAUAUCAAGUCAAUGAUUGAAUCAGAUCGGGCAGCUUCUAAUUCACAGCCUACCCAACUUUGAUUAUUGUUACCAUUUCUAUUGGUCAUCUGUCCCCAACAAUCCCUACAAAAUUUAACCAUGUUGCAUGUAAGUUGACAUAUAAGCAAAUUGGACUUUUGAUUUGAUGGAUUUGUCCAGUCGUUUUGUCAAAUUCUUGUGCUCCUGAUCCGCUGCAGAUGUAUUGUCACUGUAGCCAUAAAUUUUUGCUCGACUCCUAUAUAAUAUCUCCCCUUCAUCCUGUUCUGGCUGAUCAGCAUAGGGCAGGUUCAACUGUGAACGAGUUGACUUAAAGGAUCUGGUAAUUUUCUUCUCUAGUCCUCAUUCUCUACGGAUUGAAAAGAUGUUAAGGUCAUGAAAAGAUGUAAUGUUCCCUGUAGAGUGGUAAAAUAUUUAUUUUUAUAGAAGAGCGUUAAAAAGGAACGUCAAGUGAACAUUAACAUCUUUUUACGAUUCCUCUGCCUUAAGCCAAUCCCAUGCCUCGUAUUAAGCACGCCAUUGACAGUCAGUUCCUUCUCCAUUGGUACUGGGCGUCGAGCCAUUUCACUGCCAACUCUGCCAGUGUCUCGCCCAGGUGCAUUCCUUUCCCACCCAAAAUUCAGUACCCUAAUCGUUAAUUUCAAAUUUUCAAAUCUUCAAAUUCUAAUAUCUCACUUCAUUUAGCUUCCAUUUCCAUUUCCAUUUUUCACAUUCACCACUCUAUGGGUUGUUGCUGUAGCAGAGCCUUGGACAGGGGUCAACCUCAUACCCUGGACAAGAAUCAUCGUUCUGCAAAGCCUCCGUCACCGGGAUGGUUCGACACUGAUGUCGAAAACGUCCCAGACAACAGAACCCCGGAAGAAGAAACCGUCAAAGAAGUCCUCUCAGAGACUCCCAUUGCUAAGCCAUGUAGUGUAGAGCAAACAUCCCAUAAGAAGCCACCGGAGCAGAAAGUAAAAGCAAGCGAAAUGGAUGGUUCGCUUGUCAAGGGAGAGGAAAGUAUUGUUUCAGUUUCGGAGACGUCUCAGGUUACAGAAUGGUGCAGCAAUAUGAGUGAAAGCGUGUCGAUGGCGACCACCAUUUCGGAGCAAAGGGAAGGGGAUGAAGCAUCAAGUAAGAGCAGAGAAAUUGGUCGAAAUAUAAAACCGAAGAUUCGCAGAAAGCGGCCAUGCUCCGGCGACCUAUCAUAUCGAAGAGAACAGAGAGACAAAUGUGCAACAAAGAGGCCUGCUGAACUUUUACCAGAGAAGAAGUCCCGUGUGAAUUGCAGGUACUCACAUGGGACGACAGAAUCAAGAGAGGCAAGGACCAGGAAACUGAAUGGAGUGCAGCACGAGCAACAAUCUGGAGUCAGCCAUGGCCGCCGUUCGAGGUCACCAGCUGCUCGAACAGUUAAAGAUACGAAUAAGACAGGGAAUAUGAAAAGCAGUGUCAUGAAAAUGACUGGACAAGCUGGGGACCAACAAGAGACAGUGACCACCGAGAAUAGAGACGAAGGGAAGUUGGAGAAGCCAAUGGAUGGUUCAAUUCAGCCCCCAAAUGAAUCCAUUGAAAACCCACUUGUCUCACUUGAAUGUUUCAUCUUUCUGUAGAUUAUAAUGCAGUGUAUUUGGUUGGUGUUGAUUUGUUAUCAAUUUUCCUGAAAUAUGUUGUACACAAGACUUUGUUAGUUUCUGUAGUUCUUUCGAUUGCUUGACUUUUCCUUGCUAUGCUUCGUUUUUGUAAAUGGUAAGUGGUAACAUGGUUUGUUUUGACUCCA